rnacentral:rRNA from 1 species
CUGAAGAGUUUGAUCAUGGCUCAGAUUGAACGCUGGCGGCAGGCCUAACACAUGCAAGUCGAGCGGUAACAGGGGGUGCUUGCACUCCGCUGACGAGCGGCGGACGGGUGAGUAACGCGUAGGAAUCUACCCGGUAGUUGGGGAUAGCCCGGAGAAAUCCGGAUUAAUACCGAAUAAUCUCUACGGAGGAAAGGGGGCUUCGGCUCUCGCUACUGGAUGAGCCUGCGUCGGAUUAGCUAGUUGGUGGGGUAAAGGCCUACCAAGGCGACGAUCCAUAGCUGGUCUGAGAGGAUGAUCAGCCACAUCGGGACUGAGACACGGCCCGAACUCCUACGGGAGGCAGCAGUGGGGAAUAUUGGA